UUGGAUAUGGAUGGUUGAUGACAGGUGUUU
rnacentral:piRNA from 1 species